rnacentral:rRNA from 1 species
GGUGACGACCCUUCGGGAGCUUGCACAGGUGCUGCAUGGCUGUCGUCAGCUCGUGUCGUGAGAUGUUCGGUUAAGUCCGCUAACGAGCGCAACCCUCGCUGUGUGUUAUAUGUGUCACACGGGACUGCCGGUCUUAAAGCCGGAGGAAGGUGGGGAUGAUGUCAAGUCAGCAUGGCCUUUAUAUCCUGGGCUACACACACGCUACAAUGGCCAACACAAUAGGUUGCUAAGCCGCGAGGUGGCGCCAAUCCAUAAAGUUGGUCUCAGUUCAGAUUGUAGGCUGCAACCCGCCUGCAUGAAGAUGGAGUUGCUAGUAACCGCAGGUCAGCUAUACUGCGGUGAAUACGUUCCCGGGGCUU